GUGGCUGUAGCUCAGUUGGUCAGAGCGCCGUCUUGCCAUGGCGGAGGUCCCGGGUUCGAAGCCCGGUAGCCACU
rnacentral:tRNA from 1 species